AGCCACAGCCAUGUCACCCUGCAGCCCAAGACCGGUUACUCACUGACGCUAAGCAGGGCUGAGCCUGGUCAGUACCUGGAUGGGAGACCACUAGGGAACACUAGGUUGCUGUUGGAA
rfam:Danio rerio chromosome 7 genomic contig CTG751, GRCz11 reference primary assembly.